rnacentral:rRNA from 1 species
AACUAAAGAGUUUGAUCCUGGCUCAGAUUGAACGCUGGCGGCAUGCCUUACACAUGCAAGUCGAACGGUAGAGUAGCAAUACUCGAGAGUGGCGAACGGGUGAGUAAUAUAUCGGAACGUGCCCAGUCGUGGGGGAUAACGUAGAGAAAUUUACGCUAAUACCGCAUACGAUCUAAGGAUGAAAGCGGGGGAUUCGCAAGAACCUCGCGCGAUUGGAGCGGCUGAUAUCAGAUUAGGUUGUUGGUGAGGUAAAAGCUCACCAAGCCGACGAUCUGUAGCUGGUUUGAGAGAACGACCAGCCACACUGGGACUGAGACACGGCCCAGACUCCUACGGGAGGCAGCAGUGGGGAAUUUUGGACAAUGGGCGAAAGCCUGAUCCAGCAAUGCCGCGUGCAGGAAGAAGGCCUUCGGGUUGUAAACUGCUUUUGUACGGAACGAAAAGGCUCUUUCUAAUAAAGAGGGCCCAUGACGGUACCGUAAGAAUAAGCACCGGCUAACUACGUGCCAGCAGCCGCGGUAAUACGUAGGGUGCGAGCGUUAAUCGGAAUUACUGGGCGUAAAGCGUGCGCAGGCGGUU